UACGAAGGGGGCUAGCGUUGUUCGGAAUCACUGGGCGUAAAGCGUACGUAGGCGGAUUGUUAAGUCAGGGGUGAAAUCCCGAGGCUCAACCUCGGAACUGCCUUUGAUACUGGCAAUCUUGAGUCCGGGAGAGGUGAGUGGAACUCCUAGUGUAGAGGUGAAAUUCGUAGAUAUUAGGAAGAACACCAGUGGCGAAGGCGGCUCACUGGCCCGGAACUGACGCUGAUGUACGAAAGCGUGGGGAGCAAACAGG
rnacentral:rRNA from 1 species